rnacentral:lncRNA from 1 species
AUGAAGGUACCCCCACUACUGCACCUAACUUUUGCGCACCCUACACGAGCCGAGUUACGCCAAACCACCUGUGUAUAAUGCCCACACACCUUUCCAUCAGCACAAGAGUUCGACUCAUAACUGUAGUCGGCUUUCUCCGCCACCCACAUGUCCACAGCCGCUGUUCCCGACAUGUCACCAGUGCUCAUGGCAAGGUUUUCGCCGUAUGGCCCACCGGAGUGCACGAGAUUGCAGUCACCAACAUGUUGGUUGGCGUAGUUUUGUGCAUAGCCUGCUACUUUGUCAUCCCACGUCAAGGGACCAACGCCUACUGCUGCUCGAGCGUCGUUGUGGGACUUGAGGUAGUCUUGGGUGUGUCUUGGGCAUGAGAGGAUUGGAUAAGGACUGAGCCUAAAAUGAAAAGGAGAGCUAGGGAAAUAUUGCACAACCCCAUGUUAAUGGUUUGUUCUCUUUGUGGAUGGGCAAAUGAGAUGCUAUGGUGCGGAGUAUUUAUAAUAGCGGGGAACGGUAAAUGUUGAUAUUAUGAGCUCUAAGAAAUUGAGGCAGAAAUUGAGGCAGAAAUUGAGGCUGUGGAAAUUUAUUUGCAUGACUAUCAAAGUUGAACGUUCACAUUACGUUAUCAACUGAAGAAACCAAACCGUCACUGAACUGAUAAAACAAAACCCUACUUCUAUAUUUCUUUACUUACAACGGCUUACUUUUACAAGUAAAAUUUAUGAGAGGAUUAACUUUUUUUAGUACUACAAGCGAUAUUCUAUAUAGUCUAGACGAAGAUGGAGAGAGUUUGAACUAGGAAAGAAGAUCUGAACCACUAUGACAAUCUACCACUUACAUGAGAAGUACGAAGAUUAGUCAAACUUUCUCGAGGUAAUUAAAUUGUCAGUAUAACAAAAAUAAGCAAUCGCAACAGCAAAAACGUGGCUACUGCUGGGGUAACAAUAAUAUCGAUCACUGACCUAGAUAUUAUGUUGCUAUGUAAUACUUUAAUUUCCCGAUAUUUGUUAACACAAUUAACAAUCCCUUGAAACCUUUGAAAUUCAUGUUGAUGAUGCAACAUUGGAACAAAUUGGAACUAAUUGCUUUGGUAAAUAAGCAGAUCUGCUUCUUCUUCUAAUUACGUUUGUCAUAUCUGUUUAUUUCUCUUUUAGAAAGGUAUAUGAUGGAUGCAUGUAGGAAACGUAUAUGUUCAUCUGUUGAAGGAAAGGUCUACUAAGCCUUCCCUCAAUUUCGGGGAACAAAUUGAUUAUCGUAAUUGUUGGAUUCAUGUAUGCAGUAAACUUUGAAAAAGAAAAUUAAGUCCGAUGCGGAAAAGCAUAUUCUAUGCACCGUUGCAAUACGUGUGGUAUACGGGUCUUCUCCGAAGUUUUAUUUUCUUGAAACAAAUAUUUUUAAAUGUGGAAAUCUUACUAAACUACACAAUCACCUAACCAUAAAUUUGGUAUUAUUAAUGGUUUUGAACUCCUCUUUAGGAAAACCGAAUUUAAGACUUUCAACUUACAAGUUAGGAAAAAAUGAAUACCACUACAUUGCAGUAGUAGAUCCACAAGUCUUCUUUGGAUUAAAUAAAAUAGAAUAUUAUGAAACUCUCAUUUUUUACCUAACAUUGUAGAGAAGAAUAAUUGAGUUAAGUCACACAAUUGUUAGGGUUCAAGAUUUUUAUAUAUUAAUUUCGUUGUAGUAAUUGAGAGAAUAAAGGACUGCAUUUUCUGAGAAUGAAAGAUGUAGUUGCAGAGAGAAUAUUUGAAGGACUGUAUAAGAUGCAAUACAUUACCAAUCCUUUCAUAUAUUUUAUAAUAUACAUAUUUAUUUGUUUAAUUACUACUUUAAGUUUUAAAAUUGUUAAAUUAUUUUUUCUUACUAUAUUAUAACAUAUGAAUGAAUAACAUCAUAUUACCGUUAAUACCGUGUUCAAAAGGGAUAUCCAUUGUACGUGGUUUAGUGUUAUCCGCGAAUGUCCUCAACGCAGGACUUUUACCCUAAUUGUGAUGGCAUUAUUAGCAUUAGCAUACUUUUGGGCAUAAAGGCUGCUACGUCAGCAUCCUACGUCAGAGGGCAAAUGUCACCUUUGGUAACACCUUGAGACGCACGAAAAUGUGGGACACGAUGGCCUGUAUGUAUUGGGAUAUUGAUAAUACUUGGAUACUCUCCGGGGAGUACCCAAUAUACACACUAUCUUAUGUGGCACACUAAAAUAAAGACACUUGGCAAAACUUAAUCUUCAAAUUCUUAACCAAUUAUUUAGCCAAACACUCAGGUACCGUUUGGUACGGGACGGAAUGGAGUGGGACGAGGCGUUCCGUCCCAUGUUUGGUGCGCCUAAAAUUGGUGGAACACGUUGUUCCACAGGACGAAUUUUGGGUGAAUUUUCGUUCCGUCUCACCCCCCUGGAACGACUUAUUCCACAUUCGUGGAACACAAAAUUAUAACCUCUCUGUCUCCUUCUUCUUCCUCCUUGUUUCCAUCCGAGGCGAUAUUUGCUACCUCUCCGUUCCGUUACAUCUUGUGCCGUACCGUCCCGUCCCGUUCCGUUCCGUUUGUCCCGUCCUGCCUGCAUACCAAACGAUACCUCAUUAUUGUGUUAGCCAAACGCCCAUCUUCAUUCACACCAAAUACACCGAGAUUUAAGCCACUGGCACCAGCAACGGUCCUCUCCCACGCCAGUGGCCACGGUCUUUGCCGUACAAUCACCGGCAAUGGUCCACUACCACAAGGCACCAACCAUGGUCCUCUCCCACCAGGACACCACCCCCGGCCACGGUCGUCUCCGAUCACAAACCAGCGUCUUCAUCCACUACUAUCAGCUACCGUCCCUCGCCGGAACUCAUGGCAUCUUCAUCGUUGUAAAAUCUGGAUCUCACGUAAGAGUAGAAAACCGUGAAAACGAGCACCCAACCUAGGGCUAGGCAAACGGGUACAGGAACUGUGGGUCGGGGAGGGUAAUAACGGUUCGGGGCGGGUACAGGCCAAUUCCUACUUUUAAAAAAGAGAAACAGGGCGGACCUUUGUGAUUUUCGGUUCAGGCCGGUUCCUGAAGUAUAGGAAUCGCGGGUAUACCCAGACCGGCCCGUUUGUAAUUAAAAUGAAUGGACCAGAUUGAUGAAUAAGCUACCAUAUCUAAUCUGAACCGUUGUUUUAGUUUUACCUAAGUUCUCUAUCUCUUUCAUCUUAUCCCGAUUCCUCUCGACUCUCAUUCUCACUCUCUCAAACUCUCAUACCUCAGUCUCUCGACAGUUCCUUUCCCUCGACUCCCUCGACUCCAAUCCCCUCACCAACCGUCGAUUCUCCUCGACGAAUACAACGGAACCACCCAUCAUCCUCCUCGACAACAUCCCAGAGAACACAGGCCAUCACCCUUGCCGUCGAUUCUCUCCUCUUCGACAGCAACCCCCGCCGUCGUGACCGCCAUCACCCCAUCCCCGUCGUCGAUGACACUGGUACCAGCCAUCAUCCCUUUAAAAUUUAGGUAAUUUUGAAUUAGGGUUUUGUUAUUAAUUUGAAUUUUGGGUGUAGGGAUUUUAGGGUUUUUAAAUUAGAAUUGGGAUUUUAGGGUUUUCAAACUAGGUUACUAUAGAUGCUGAAUGUAUAUGGUUGUAUCUAUGCUGCAAAUGUUUUUUUCUUGGAGUUGUUAGAUGCCUCAAUACUUUCGAACCUUGCCCUUCUUCAAAGAUUCACGCAGGGGAGGUUGUCGAUAGACCUUUUUCGCAUACAUUCUUGGGGUGCAAUCUCUUGCACCAGUACUCCUGAAUAUUUGAUAUUGAACACAUAAUAAACAUAAUGUAGGAGAAUUUAGAGAGAUUGGUUAAUGUUCCAUUUGCAUGUUGAUUUGUAAGAGGUUGUGUUUAACCCUCUAUUUCGGAAAACAUGGUUGCAUUUUAUAGCUAAAAGAAAAAGAAGUUUUUAGGGUCCUCUUUGAAAACCAUGACUAUUAAAGUGUGUUUGGAUAAGGGACUUUAAAGUUCCAAGAAACUUAAGGCUAAAUGGUUAAAAAUCACGACAAGAAGACUACCAAUGCACUAUUCAAGCACUACCAAGUUUCUUCUAGCACAUCAUAAAGAGACAGAACAAAGAACUUCCAAAUGACACCUAGAAAGGUGUGUCAUUUCAAAAUUCAAAGUUUUCUUAUGCGUAUUGCACCUAGUUAUUUUCUUCCUCUUAUCUAAUUGUUGCAGUGCAUCCUAUCAAAUAUAGCCCAAGAUCUAUGUUACUUUAAAGUCCCUAAUCCAAACGUGCCAUUAAAGUCACAGUUAGAGUUCCCUUUUUGAAGUGAUAAUUUAAUAACUUUAGCAUGGUUAUAUUUAGCCUCUUUGAAGUGGAAAAUAUUACAUCUUGAAAGUUUCAUAUUUCAGCUUCAAUUUCACAAUUUGUCAACUAAAAGAGAUAAGGGAAUAGCUUCUUGUGUAAAUUUUAUAUUUCUCAGAUGUCAUUUUAUACUUGAUUCCUUUUGUGUAAUUAUUUACAGUAUGUAAAUAUGCAUUUAUUCAGGUAUAACUGUGCCAAACAAUGUAAAGUUUCUGAUUUGAGAGGCAUGCAGUAUAACUAGGUAUAACUAGGUUUAAAGUUUCUUAUUUAACUCAUAUUUGACUAGGUUUAUGUUUUAGUCUCUUGGACUUUCGGAUAUUUUGUAUGUUGAUUUGAUUUUUAGAUGUUGGACAAUGUAAUAUUGUUAUUUUGGAUGUAUUGUUAAUCUAUGAACUUUGAUGUUGGACUUUGUAUUUAGAUUGGAUGUGAAUAAUGGUGAAUUUGUGCAAAAUCUGCAUAAAUGUAGUUUGUCACUUUCUGCAGACUGUGCAGUUUGCAAUCUGUGCAAAUCUGUGCAGUUUGCAAAUAUAUGCAGUUUCAUAUCUGUACAGAUUGCAAUCUGUACAAUUUUUUUUUUCAAACAACAAAAAAAAAGGGACCCGUGGACCCUGCCCGUUUCAACCUGGCCGGGUAAUGUCCGGUUCCUAUAUUAGAAAAUGUAAUCCCCGGCCGGGCCCGGCCCGUUUCCUUUGAACCUAGGUUCGAUCAGGUCCCUUCAAAUUGGGCCCGGCCCGGCCCAUGCCCAACCUUAACCAACCCCAUGAGCCAUCGUCCUCUCCGUAUGAAAAUCAAGGAACCCAUAUUUUUGGAUUGCCAGAUUGGGCUUCUGGAAAUGGAAUCUUCCACCACAAUUAGAUUGCCAUGAUUUUUUAAAAUAUGAAAAUGAAAGUGUUUGUCUGAUUGUGUGCUUUGGCGAGGAAGAAGGUGAGUGUUUGGCUACAGGAAUAAAUGAUGUUUGGUUAAGUGUGUGGGAGAUUUAAAUAAGGACAGAUGUCGUUGUUUUAUUAUGCCACAAAAGAUAGUGUGUAUAUUGGGUACUCCCCGGAGGGUACCCAAGUAUUAUCCUUGGGAUAUGGUGUGGAAAAGCUGCUUUGUUGAAGUCCACAUAAUUUUUUUUAAAUUUAAAAAAAAAUAUAUUGGAACCAUGUAUGUCUUUGGUUCCGGACGGAAGUGUAGGACACUAUGACCUGUAUAUAUUGGGAAGUGUGGAAAAUAUGGGACAUCUCUUUUCUUUAAAUUAUUGUAAUAAUUUUGAAUCAUUCAUCCUCCCCCUAAGAAUAAUAAUUUACAAAAAAUUGGAACUAUAUUAGAUCAAGCCUUUAGUCACAGAAGAAAAUGUGGACACGAUACCAGUAUGUAUUGGGAUAUAUUGUAGAGAAUUUGCUUUGUUAACGUCCGAAUGGAUUUAGGUACGACUAAAGUUGUAAUAUCGUUAGUUGUCAUUAGUAUUACUGUUUAGUGAAAUUAUUCUCCAUUUGUUAGUGGGGAGGUCUCAGUUUAACUAUGAGUUCAAAUUUACUUGUCACGUCCCGAUUCCGACAUAUGUCUAGGAUCGACAUAUGACAUCACUCAGUACUCGUAUAUCUAACAUACCUGCCUCCAGGAUAUGGACAAGCACAAGAAAUAUUCAAUUGUGUAGUAAUUUUUCAUGUACUUUAUGGCUACAUCUAACCUCUUUGUUAGACUACCUUCGUACCCUCCGACGAGAUCAAGCCAUUCGUAGUUCACCAUUUGUUAAACUAUGAACUAUUCGUAAAACACUUCCUAGCAGACAACAUAGAGUACCACACUACAUAUCAACCAUAAGCCAAACAUGAGUUAUCAUCUUACCAACACACAUAUGCUUUCCAACACCAUUCAACAAUCACAUCAAUCAAUAACACAUACAAUGCACCAAAAUGCAGGGUUAGAGCGACACAGUUAGGCAGAAGCUUGCAUCCCUGAAGCUUUCUCAAUUUAGACCGAAUCCAACGAAUCAACGAAGUCAACAAUGUGAUUUCGAACCACUCAACGAAAUCCUACAAAAUAGGGUUCCGGACCACUUAACGGAACCAAAGUACCAAACAGGAUUAUGGACCACUCAACAGAAUCCAAACCAGGAUACGAUUUCGGACCACUCAACAGAAUUGUAGAGUAUAAGGGAUUCUGGACCUUUCAACGGAAUCUGAGUGGAUACGAUUUCGGACCACUCAACGAAAUCCAGACGAAGCAAGGAAUCAGACCACUCAAUGGAAUCGAGUGGAAGUCUAAGAAACAUAACAACGGCUCAAAGAAACAAGACAUGAAUCAAGUUACUUAAUUUAGAAUGGCUCAACGAAACGAGAUAUGAAACAAGGUUCACUAGGAGCCCUCACAUUUCAUCAAACAAUUCAACAAGCACUUCGAAUCACAUUUCAUAAAUAUCACCAACACACAAGUCAAAUCACAUUUAAUAAACAUAGAUCAAUGGCUAAAUAUUAAAAAAAAAAUCACAUUUCAAUAGAAAUCACAUUUAUAAAAUCAAGUGAUAUUCACAAAGGAUACUAAAUACAAAAUCAGGGUAAUAACCAUAUCACAUAUCUUUAAGUCAUUCACUAACCAAUGUAGGCCCACUAGACUUCACUUAGUCUCUAGUAGUACUAAUUUUAGUAUUUAAGAACGAUUCAAAUCAUGUUGACCAAAAGUCAACUCUCUGUCAACGGUGGGUUCCACAACCCUACAUAAUUCGAUUUGGAACAUCUUCCCAUAGAUUUCCGAUCCGUAACCUCCUAAGAGUCUCAUUAAUCUUCUAGAACAAUAUUCUAAAAUUUUGAAAUGAUCCAACGGUCGGAUCUUCGCCAAUCGCGAAAAAUAAAUUGCUGUCAACAUUUGGUUUUACAAACUUAGAAAUUCAAUUUGGGAAGAUCCGUACGUUGGAUUUCCAAUCCGUAAGUUCCUAAGGUCCUCAAAUAUUAUGUUUAAUAACAUAUUAACAUUCAAUGACAAUCUAACAGUUGGAUCUUUGUUUGCUACAUUAGUCAAGUGGAGGACCCUAAUGGAACUAGGUCCAAACGAUAGAAUUUCAUCGAACAGAGGUCAAUUAUGAAAUUAGAAUAUCAAAUUUAGCCUAGAAAUUUAAAGUUGGCUCACUGGCCAAAUGCAACAUGAGCCACCGCAUGCGGCGGUUUCCAGUAAACGGAAACCCAAUUUUCUAACUAACUCCAAAAAUUACCAAAAUUUUAUAAGAUUGUAGAGCACAACAAGGGAACAACUUUCAUACCUGGGCUGAAGUCCAAUUCGGUAGGGAAACGCCUAACCCUAGAAUUGGGUGUUCAUAAAUGGUAGAUUUGUCGCAUGCACCCAUGAAGCCCUCGACUUUGAUUUUCACGAAAAGACACCAAAUCAACUCAGGUUUUGGGUGGAAAUGGAAGAAGACUUGAUGCUGAGUUGCUUCCAGGUAAUGGGUGGCUACAAAUCGCCAGAAAAACCACCUGAAAAGGCAUCGAAAAACAUGCCGGGUUCGAUCUCGGCUCAAUGGGAGGGAUCUGAUUUCCUCAUUCUCUCAUACCUCAUUUCCCCUCCUUGCUUUCCCUCUAAUUCGCCUGUCUCUCCCUCAUUUCUCUCCUUAUCUCUCCAUCCAAGCCACACACGUGGCACCAAAUCAGUGCUCCAGCAAAUCUGGAGCCUUCCAGAUAAUGGUCAAAUGACCAUUUCACCCUUGUCUUUACUCGUUUAUAUCUCGUUUGUUAUAGCUCCGUUUGGCAAACAAUUUUCGCCUAUGCACUCAUGAGGUCAAGCUCUAUCCAAAUAUGUAAAUAAAAGUGACAAAACAUAUAAGAAUUAAAUACAUUCUUGAAAAAUCCGUUUAGUUCAUUAAGGUCAUUUUCAUCCUUUUACUUAUCGAAAAAAAAAACUAUACGCCGUAAUUAUAAAUGCGUCGAAACUAAGAACACGAAAUACAUAAUUUUAAAUAGUGAAAUAUGGGGACAGGAUGUCAUAGCCCGUCCCGAAAUAUUUAUUUUCAACAGCGUGAAAUUACUUAUUUAGCCUUGGACUUUUAUGUGGUUAUGUGGGUUAAGUUUUAUUUGGACCAAUUCAUAGGUUUUCCUAAGUUUUUGGAACACUUAAGACUUAAAGUGUUUGUUUUGUGUAUUGGAAGACCAUGUAGGACCACCACACACCGACACACACACUCAACCUUUCCCCCGUGCCCUCUCUCUCCUAUCCCUUUCGAUUUUUCUGCAACAUCCGUACAAGUGUACGGACAAAUCUCGAACCCUCUCAUUUAGACGUAGAACUCUAACCUCGAGAACUUGAAAGCUUUAAAACCCCGAGAACUCUAACCCCAAAUUUCAUGCACUAAUUAAUGUGAGGUUUUUAGGAGCUUUUAAGGACAUAGGGAGCUUUGGAUCAUCUUCACGAAGCUUGGAGAAGAAAACCCAAGCGAUUUGGACAUCGGGAAAUCAAGUUCGUCGAGUUUUAAGUUUUCGCUGGAUUAUUGAGCUUUCUCUGGCGAAUUUUCAUGGAUUUCAAGCCUUAAAAUUGGUAUGGAUGUGUUCUUCUAGUUAUAAGCUUUAAAUUGAGACCAAUUUCAUGAGUUUUAGUUAAGAAAUGACUGAUAUAUAAUGAUUUUAAGAUUUUCCAGUUUCCGGCGACGACGACGGUCGCCGGAGUUCGAAGGUAGGGGAUAACGGAAUAUUCCGUCAACUUUGACGAAAUAUUCCUAACGGCGACUAAUGAUGUUGGUUGAUUUUAACAAAAUAUUUCUUAAAUUUAACGAAAUAUUCUUAACAGCCGUUAGGCCUCAGUUAAGGUUUGGCCACAUGUGGGGGAGCGUAGGGUCGUGCCUUCGCCAGCGCAUGGCGGCGCGUGGGCGGUCAGAAUUUUUUUCUAAAAAUAUGGGGAUGUUCGUGAGGUUCAUCUCGUUUGAGCAAUAUAUGAGAAGUUAUUAACUGGUUUUGUCUAUGUGGUUUAAAUAACGUUUAUUCAGUUAUUUUACAUAUAGGUGAGACCUAUCCAGAGGACGAGCGCAGUUAAGGGCGACUCGGGGGCUACAACCCUUCGACAUACCAGUGAGUGGGCUUUUGGUUUUCAAUAUAUAUUUAUAUACUUGAUAUUUUCCCAUAAAAUGUGUUUAUAUGAAUUAGUAUAUGAUGAAUAAUGUGAAUUGGUGUUAUGGAUGCUCAGGUAAGUACCAAGUGAGUUAUGUUUUGUUAUGUGAAAUGUCGACAUUGUGAGAUGUGAUUGAGAGCUCAUAAACCUGCACCCCAGGUGAUUGUGAUUUAGCCACAGAUAUGGCACAUGUCUGUUUAUGAUGUCACAUCCCGCACCAUAUGCUCACAUUGGAUCCAAUUUAAGUGCACAUUCUUGUCGUACAGACCACUAUACAUGGUUCCGACUCAUAGGUGACUAGCGAUUUAUCGCACAGCUAUCAUGAGAGCGUAGCAUUGAGCAUAACUAUAUUACACACAGUCUUGUCGUACAGACCAUUACAGUGGUUCCGACUCGUAUGCAGUGUAGUGCCAUAUAGGUCACUUGUGGUGACUCCAACUAGAUCGAUUAAUGAGUUAUGAAUUCAGCUGUACAGACCUCUGUAAAGGUUCCAGCUAAUAUAUUGUUGACCAUGAACUUAUUUGCACCUGAGUUACUUAUUAUGUUCUAUAUUUGCCAUGGCAUACUUAUGUUUAUAGUUAUGUGAAGCAUGAUUUGAAUAUAUAUAGGGGUGUGAUAUUCACACACCCCAUUUUACUUUUCACACACCCUUCUAAUUUUCGGCCAUAGGAUCGAAUGAAUUAAAGAAAAUUAACAAGUAGAAAUUAACAAGGGGUGUGUAAGAAGUAAAAUAGGGUGUGUGGAUAGCACACCCCUAUAUAUAUAUAUAUAUAUAUAUAUUCUAUUUCUGGGAAAAUUAUACAUGUUUUACAGCGAGGGGUUAGAACACUUGAUAAAUGAAAUGGUCUUUGAAAAGCUUUGUUUUUGCCCACUCACACUUUAUGUUUUGCGCCCUUCCAGGUUCUAAGGAGGAGUGUUUGUUGGUGGCAUCGAGGAGUCAACGGCCGUUAUGACAGAUUAUAUCUAUGCAGGACAUCUUUGGGUGUCGUUUAAUUAGUAUUUGUUUUCUGGGCUGAACUUAGGCUACUUACGCUCUGAUUGUGUAUCCACACCUAUUCUAGUACUUGCCUUGACUAGUACUAUUAUGAGUUGAUUUUUAUUUAUUCGUAUUCCCUAUUAUCUUUACUACUUCCGCACUAUGCACAUGGCUACAUCACCCUCACGUGAUGGUCAGCAUGCCUUAACUCGGGUCGGGAUGUGUCACGGGAUUUCACACUACUUCCACCAAUGUUGUUGAUAUUUUUUUUAGGAUUGUACUUGGGUACUCACUAGUGAGUACUCACAUUUUGAUUGUGAUUAUUCAGCUUUUGAUUGUCCAAUAAUAUUUUAGGAGAAAUUAGGUUCACAUCCUUCUUUUUGCUAUUCCAUUGAUUAAAAUCCUAUUCAUUUUUCAAUUUUUGAUCAAGGUCCUUGGGUAUUAAUAACAUCAUUAAUUAUUUGAAUAAUAAAAUAUUUUUAUUUUUAAAUAUAUUCCUUUAGUGUUAAAAACGUCACAAUUAGUAUAUUUAUGGUUACAUUUUUAUCAUAUAUUUUUAUUUUUAGUUUGUACCAAUUUUUUUUUUCAUUUUUAAUUUGUACUCAUAUAUUAGUUUCUUUUUGUGCCCAUAUUUUUUAAAGUUUUAUUUGUGUUUGUACCCAUGUUUAUACCAUCACAUGACAUUGUCUAUUUAAUCAAUGAUAGAAAAAUUGCAUAUGGUAUAUUUAUGUUUUAUGCCUAAAUUUUGUAUCAUGUAUUUAUAUUUUUAGUUUGUACCCACUUUUAAUUUGCAACAUUUUUCUUAAAUUUUUAGUAUUUUCUUUUUAGUUUUAUUUUGUACCCAUGUAUUAAUUUCUUUUAGCGCCUAUAUUUUUUUAAAAUUCAUUUGUACUCAUAAUUUUUUUAAUCUUUUAUAUGCACCUUAAUUUAUUUAUAAUGUACUCAUUCUUCUUUAUUAAUGUACUACUUUGUUAUAUGUGAAAUGUACCAAUUUUUUUGUAAAAUGUACCAAUUUUUUUAACACUAUGGAUACAUUCUUUUGCUAUUUAUUAUUUCUUAUUUUUACAUAGUUUUUUUUUCAUUUAUUCAAUCAAAAUGUUUGAAUUUUUUUUAUUGUAACCGUUUAUAAUAGUAUUAUAAUGAGGGAUUUUAAAUUUAUAGGAUUAUAAAUCUCAAAAAAUAUCAAACAAUUAAUGUCAAAACUAUAAAAAUAUAAAUAUUAAUUGUAAUACAAUGAGGUGUACAAAGUCAAUGGACUUUGAUCAAACUUUGAAUAUCAUUAAGGUUUUAGUAAAAGAAUGUUAAGGAUUAGGGACCUCAUCCAAAGUUUCCCAAUAUUUUAUCACAUAUUUUAUUGUUUUGAAAAAUAAUGCACAUAUGUUAAUAACUUUUCUUGGGUAAUAAAAAAAUAAAGAACAUAUGACAUUUCUUGAAUCGGCCAAAAUCAGAAAGUGAGUACAUAGAUUGGUGAGUAUUUAUGUAUUUAGGGUUAGACUAUUAUUUAAUCUCUGAGAAAAAUUUGGCCUUCUUUUUUUAAUGCUUGAUUUGACCCAAUUAUGUAUUUUGAAUGUGGAAUGCUUGCUAACAUCAAAUACCUAAAUGUUGGAACCAAAUCCAACCUGCAAAACAGUAAAACAAUUGUGAGCAAUCCUUAAACCCAGGGGGAGAUGGGUGUUCAUGCCAAAAGCUUUCCAACGGUCAAGUAAGUGAAUGAUUUUUAGACUUAAGCAGUGAGCAAGAGAAUUGAAGUGUAUAGAUUGUGUUACCGUGGAUGCGUCCUAGGUGGGUGUAUUUAUAGUGUGGGAGAGAGACCUUUUUAGGAUAUAAUCCUCGUUCUAAGCCGAAAGAAUCCUAAAUGAUAUAUAGUAAGUAGAUAUUGUAUCCUCUUAGGAGUUGUGAUUACUUGCAGCGCAGGCCUAUCCUAAGAUUGUAGGGACUCCAAGAGACUUAUAGGCUCUGAUUGUGUCCAUAUUCGGAUCAGAUCACAUAUGGAACAAGCAUGGUCAUCUAACGAAGUCGUUAGGACUCCGCCUAGUGCCCCAGAGUAGAAUGAUGGUAGCACCCUGUUUCGUCUGAUACAGCUCCACCCAGAGUUAGAGCUAGUGAGUCCAUGAUCGAACUUCUAAGGUAACAACAAUAGAAUUAGACUCACUCUGGCCUUGAAAAAUCAUGGUCCCCCGCUGAAUUCAUUAAAAAAACAAUUUCUCAGCAAGUUAACCUACUAUUAAGGAAUACCAUAAUUAUGGUUCAUGAAUUUUCAUUGCUGGAGUAAGGCAGAUCGAAAUACUAAUACCUCAAAAGUUCUAUCAUGGACUCAACAACUUCAGCCGCGAAGCUGCAUAAAUGGAUCAUGGAGCAGUGUUGUCACUGUCAUCCUGUUUCGGAGCAGUGAGUGAAGUUCGUCAACUUCACUAAGAUUGACCAUACUUGUUCAGUAAGACAUAGAAACCUGAUCCAAUAAGGAAUCAGCCAUGUUUCCUACAUUAUUGGAAUCCUUACAAUCUAAGGAUUGACGUGUGGCUAAAGUAAUCAUACUCCUAAAAGGAUGCAAUAUCUACUCCAAGGUAUAAUCUAAGAUUGUCCCAGUUUAACAUGAAUUCCAUUUUCUAAAAGGACUUUAUCUUGAUUGGUAUAAAUACACCAUUCUUAGAUUCAUAUCUAGUAACACAGUUAUGCACACUUAUUCUCUUGCAUAUAGCUUGAGUUUCAUAUAUUUUUUACUAACUUGGCCGUCAUAAAGCCUUUGACCUGCACCCCUAGUCCUUGGCUGCUUACGUUGUUUGUUCUUUUACAUGUUAAACGAGUUUGUGCAUCUCCUCCACACACGGUGGUGCACACAUUUAGUUUUAGCAAAAAUGUUUGUUAUACAAACAAAAACAAAAAGUCGAACACAAUGAACACAUAAAAUCGCAGCAUGGAUAUUCAAUUGAUAUCUAAAUACGUCUAUAUUAUAUCAUGAAACUCCUAACUAAAAUAUGUUGCUACCAGGUAUUAUAUUUAUAUCCAUAUGGCAAAGCAUAGAAAUUAAGACUAACAAUUUUGUUAGAAAAAUCUAACAAUAAUAAUAAUCAUGGCUUUAAUCAGCCCCUUUUUUUGUUACCUAAUUAAAAGGUAAAAUUGAAGAACAUAGGUUGGGAAAACAAAAUCACAAAGAAUACAUGAAACCGACACCUGAAGCAAAAAGGAUGGUGCGGAGGUGGGAUGCAUACCUAUUGUAUAGACUGGUAGACAACCCGCGGAAAAGAUAUCUAUGGGAUAGGCAUGGUGGAAAGAAGGCAAUAAGAGGAGGAAGAAGAAUACUGCUUUGAAUCUUCAACAAUGACUACCAUGGUGGACAGAAAAUAUAUAAAUCAAUUUGCACACAUGUGGAUGCAAAUUUUCGCCUUAUUCUUCUUGAACAAAAAUGCACCUGCAAAAUAAUCAAGACCUAAAAUCAAGGCCAAGAGCCUCACGUGCCCACGAUGAAUGGGGGAGCUUUGGCCGAAGAAUCUCCGAUGCUAAAGUUAGAAUUUGAGAGAAAGUGUUUAAAGAAUUUUUGGGAGAGAAUUAGACUUAGGUUUUUGGAAAAAUGAGGGGCUAUAUAUAAGAGUGUGGCCAACCCUAUUAGGAGAAUUGGGACUCGCCACAUAUGGUUGAUUUGUGGGAUUGAUUGCAAAAUAUUAUGUAAAUAAUAUCUUGUAAUUAGUUUGGUAAUUAAUCAAUUAAUUUGCUAAUUAAUCCCAAUUUGAAAAGAAUAAUUGGAAAUUACCUUGUGGAUGAGGAUUUGAUGAGGAGAGAUGAGAGGGUUUUAAAAGAAUAUCAUUUUGACACCUGUCACCUCGAUUGAGCCUUUAUUGUCUGUUGCAUGCGCGUAAGAAUUUCGGUGUGCCUUAAGGUAAUUUUUUCUUUUUAUCCAAAGUUCAAGUGUUGCCUCCAUAUUUUUCUUAAUUAUUUUUGGCUCCACAAACCUAGACUAUGUAUUGACUGGUAAAAGAAGGAAACAUAUUGUCAGGAAGAUCAUCUUGCAUGCAUUCAUCUUUGAACUAGGAUUCUCUUCCCCUCUUGUUUUCAUUUUCUUCCAUUUUCUCUUCUCAUAUUCUUUAUUUUGUCUUUAUAUUCUAUAUAAAACAAUAUAAAAUGUUGAUGUGAUUUAAUCAUAAUCGUUCAUAUAGGAAAUGAGGGAAGGAGGAAAAAAAAGAAGGGAGAGAUAAUCCUACUCCCUUUCAUCUUCUUGGAUCUCUCUUUUUCCUGACGACAGAUUGAAUAUUUUUCUUCUUAUUGCAGCUUCCUCUUCUCGCCGCAUUCUUCAACCCUAUUCAACAGUUACCCUUGUGACGGCAUCUUCAUCUUUGGAGGGCCCUUGCAGUCACAUGUCAUUGGAAUUGAAAUAACCAGAGGAUUCAUGGUCAAUGGUGUUUGACUGGAGAGGGUGAUUGAUGGGGUGGGCAAGGGUGGUGGUGAUUGAUGUUGGGUCAAGUUUCAACUUAAUUUAACUAUAAUUAUAUUUAAAAUAAUAAUUAGUAGAUAAGUAAUUCAAGUUGGCUAAUAAAAAGAUAAAAAUUACAAAGUAGUUAAUGCUUAGAUGUGUAACCCAAAAUCGUCUGUGUAUCAUAUACUUGGAACAAUCCAACUGAUGGUCCGAAGCCCUGUUGGAAUUUUGAUAAAGUAUCUCUCAAAUCUUCCAUUAUCUAAAGAAAAGACGCCGAUGUCAGGAUAUGUAAAUAAUUCUUGAACUACUGAAUGAGUUGAAUUAUCAGCAAAGUAAAUGCAAUUGCUGUUUAACUCUCUAAAAUCACUCGCCCGAAGAGAGAAGGAAGAACAGUCAGUCAAAAAUAAUACUUGGCCAUCCAAACUUUGUACAACAAGAAAUUUGCUACUCUCAGUGUCAAUUUUGAAUACUCGAAAGCAACUUACCCUAUAAUAUCUGGGAUUCUCAUCUUCGUCAUCAAUGUCAGAUUCAUUGUCGCUGGAAUAUACGACAUUCUCAUCUUCACUAUCAAUGUCAGAUUCAUUGUCGCUAGAAUAUAUGGCAUUCUCUUCUUCGUAUCAAUGUCAGAUUCAUUGUCGCUGGAAUAUAUGGUAUUCUCCUCUUCAGUAUCAAUGUCAAAUUCAUUGUCGCUGAAAUAUUAAUUUGCCAUUCUCCUCUUCUUCCUCCUCAUCAUCCUGGUCAUCUUGAUAAUUAUCAUCAAAGUUCUGUUCCACCUGAUCAUAACCAUCCUCAUUGUCCGCGUUUCUUGGAGCUUGAAAAAUAUGAUGCCAUUUAUGGAUUAACAGGACUUCAUUGUUGGUUGAUUCCAAUAAGGACUUCCAUGCGCCAUUGUACGUCACUGUGUAGCACUCGUGAUGAUAAAUGUCUGGUUCAAUCGGUUCGAUAUUAUCAUAUAUCAACAUCAAUUCCACUGCAUGAUCAUCUCCAAAUUGUAAGCUGUGAGCUACAAUAAGCUCAUUCUUAGUUUCACUAGUCACCAAAGAGUAUAGCUUUCCUGUACUGGAAAACAAUAACUGGUCAUGACCCUCAUUUUCAUCUAAUACCUCAAAGACACUCCAUGUUUUGUCCCCAGGUCUACAUAAACCCAAUACAUUAUGCGAAUCAAAAAUUGCCGCCACCAUGCAUCCUGGAUGAUCGACAUCUGAGGUAGAUAACUGAUAACAGUAUAUAAAGCAAGCAUAACAGCUUGUGAUCGUGUGUUGUAAUAGUGACAAGUGUAGUCAUCUUGUAAUCAUUGUGAUAGCUUAGAAAGUAAGCAAUCUAGUUAGCUAUAUACUAUAUAACUAUCAUUGUAAGAAGAUGAAAAGAGUUAAUGUGAAAAACAAAUAUCUUCUCUGUCUAAAAUUCUAUUUCUCUCUCUGAAUAUUCAUUUCUUCUUCUGCAAGAAUACAUCUCCUCUAUACCUGUCGAUAUCUUUACAUGGUAUCAUUCGCCGGAAAAGCUUCAUGCUUCACGGUUUCUUGAUCUUGGUUCUUCUGCUUCCGCUCUGUUUCUUCUAUUUCUUGAUUUUUUAGGGUUCUCAUUUCCCUUUUCUUCUCUGGUUCUCGGUGUUUACGAUACUGCACACCAGGUGUUUGUUCUUUUGUCUCAGUGACAUUUUCUUCGAGUUCUUGAUUCCUAUUCGAUCAUGGUGACUGCUACACAAUUGCAGAUUCUUCAAUCUCCCAUUACCUCUCUCAUCUCAUCAGUUUCAUCUUCUGUUUCUGUGAAACUUGAUGAUUCAAAUUACCUCACAUGGCAUUUUCAGAUGGAGCUUCUUCUCGAUGGUCAUGGCAUUAUGGGGUUUGUCGAUGGUACAAAUCCUUGUCCUUCGAAUCUGAGUGAUUCAACUGAGUCUUCCAGUGAUUUGCAUACCAGUGAUGCUUUCAAGAUUUGGAAAAUGCAUGAUCGGGCUCUCAUGCAACUCAUCACUGCCACAUUAUCUCCUUCUGCGAUUUCGUGUGCUAUCGGUAGCACGAGUGCUCGGGACUUAUGGGUGCGUCUUAAAGAACAAUUUUCAAUUGUUACUCGGGCUACAAUUUUUCAGAUGAAAUCUGAGUUGCAGAAUAUUAAGAAAGGUACAGAUUCCAUUUCCUUAUACCUUCAACGCAUUAAAGAAGCUCGUGAUUACUUGGCUGCUGCUGGGGUUAUGUUUGCUGAUGAUGAUAUUGUGAUUUUAACUCUUAAUGGUCUGUCUUCCGAAUACAAUACAUUGCGAUCCAUUAUUAGAGGUCGGGAGAAUGUUAUUUCUAUGAAGGAUCUUCGCUCCCAAUUGCUUGCUGAAGAAGCAAUGCUUGCUAAUGUUUCUGUUACUCCUUUCCUGUCUGCAAUGGUAGCUAGCAAUAUGUCUGUUUCGUCUAAGUCUUCUCAAUUCGAGGCCAAUUCACCUCAUGAUAAUUACUCCAACACUGGUCCUUCAUUAAAUGGUGGUUCGUAUGGGUCUCAAGGAAGUUUUUAUCAAUACAAUGGGUCUGGUUCCAAGCCUCCUUACCACAGGAACAAGGGUAAAGGCAAGUAUCAAUACAACUCCCGGUUUGGUAAUGCCAAGUCUGGUUCUUUUCAUAACAAUGCCCCUGGUAUUCUUGGUUCCUCUCCACCAACGGCACAAGGGUUUUUUCAGUCUUCUUGUCAAAUUUGUGGCAAAUUUGGACAUCUAGCUGUUACUUGUCGGUUUCGAAAUACUGAGAAUUCUAUUACAGAGGCUUGUCAAAUCUGUGGGAAAAAGAAUCACAGUGCUCCUUUCUGUCAUUUUCGAAAUGCCAAUCUCCAAGCUCAGCAAGUGUCAGCUAUGCAUGUUGCUGGUCCAUCCUCUGUUCCGAGUGCUAAUUCUCAACAAGUGUGGCUUACAGAUUCUGGGGCUACAUCUCACAUGACUGCUGAUCUUAAUCAGUUGUCGUUGGCCUCUCCAUUUCCUUCCAAUGAGACAAUUCAAACUGCUGGAGGUGGUGCAGGUUUAUCAAUUUCCCACAUUGGUUCCUCAACUUUACAUACACCUUUCAAACCCCUGCAUCUUAAUUCAGUCUUAUAUGUUCCUCAACUCUCUCAGAAUUUGUUAUCUGUGCAUAAAUUGUGUCUGGAUAAUAACUGCUGGUUAAUCUAUGAUGCUUUCUGUUUUUGGAUCCAGGACAAAGCCACAGGGAGGAUCCUCUUCAAGGGACAUUGCAGUAAUGGACUGUAUCCUAUUCCUCUACCAGUUUCAUACCGUUCUUCCUUACCCAACGUACACGCUGCUUUCCUUGGACAACAUGUGUCUUCGAGUCUUUGGCAUAGUAGAUUAGGACACCCAUCCAAUUCUAUAGUAUCUGCCAUAUUACGCAAAUGCAAUGUAUCUGAUAUAUCUGAUAGUAAGUCUGUGAUGUGUCACUCUUGUCUAGAAGGGAAAUUUUGUAAAUUGCCAUUUGUGGAUUCUGUCUCUAAGUCCCUGCAUCCUUUUGAUACUAUUCAUAGUGAUGUAUGGGGUCCUUCUCCUUGUAACUUUGUAGAGGGUUUUAGAUACUAUGUGACAUUCAUUGAUGAAUGCACUAGACAUUGUUGGAUAUUUCCUCUCAUCAAUAAAAGUGAUGUUUGUUCAACUUUCAUUGCCUUUUACAAUUUUGUGUUCAAUCACUUUGCUAUUUCUGUUAAAACUUUACAAAGUGAUGGGGGAGGUGAAUAUAUUAGCAAGUCAUUUCAACAAUUUCUUGCAUCCAAAGGUAUUAAACACCAAUUGUCCUGUCCAUACACCCCUGAACAAAAUGGUCUAGCUGAAAGGAAGCAUAGACAUAUUGUUGACACAGCUAUAACCCUUUUACAAACUGCUUCCUUGCCUUCAAAAUUCUGGUCUUUUGCAUGCCAAGUUGCUAUCUAUCUUAUUAACAGAAUGCCAACACCUGUUUUACACAACAAAUCUCCAUUUGAGUUGUUGUUUAAAGAUGUCCCAGCUAUCAAUCAUCUUCGGGUUUUUGGAUGUUCCUGUUUCCCACUCUUAAAACCUUACAAUUCCAACAAGUUACAGCCUAAAACAACAAAAUGUGUCUUUUUAGGUUAUGCCUCCAGAUACAAAGGCUACUUAUGUUAUGAAGUGAGACAUCAAAAAAUGUACAUAUCUAGGCAUGUUAUUUUUGAUGAGGGUGAAUUUCCUUAUGCCAUGUUGUCUUCCAAAACCUUAACUUCAUCAUCCUUUACUCCUCUUUUGUCACCUUCUAUUUCUCUGCCUUCUGUCACACAUGAUAACCAGGUUGUCUCCAUAGCAUCUACAUCUACUUCACCUACACUUGAGUCCAUUUCUACCCCAACACAUGCUGAAUCCAUUACUGCACCGUCCAUACAGUCUGUGCUUCCUUCUUCCCCUGUGGCUGCAGUCCUGUCCUCUGGAUCCAAUCCUCAUGAUCAUACUGAGAUUUCUUCAGAGUUUCAACCUGAGAGUUUGCAAGUGGUUUCUUCUAUUCCACCUAUGAAUACACAUGCCAUGCAGACAAGAUCCAAAAAUGGUAUCUUCAAGCCUAAAGCUUUUCUCUCUAAAAUUGAAGCUGAUAUUCCAAUUGAUUUAACUCAGGUGGAACCCUCAACAUAUAAGUCUGCUCUUUCAUCCUCAGUAUGGUGUGCAGCUAUGAAAGAAGAGCUCUCUGCUUUGCAUUCUCAAGGAACUUGGUCAUUAGUUCCUCUUCCUUCAAACAAGAAUUUGGUUGGGUGUAAGUGGGUCUUCAAGAUUAAAAGAGAUGCAGAUGGGAACAUUUCUAGAUAUAAGGCACGCCUUGUUGCCAAAGGCUUCAAUCAAGAAGAGGGUCUUGACUAUGGGGAGACCUUUAGUCCAGUUGUUAAACCUACAACUGUGAGGUUAGUUUUGGCUUUAGCUGCACAAUUUGGUUGGUCUUUACGGCAACUCGAUGUGAAGAAUGCUUUUCUUCAUGGUAUUUUACAAGAAGAGGUCUAUAUGUCUCAACCUCCGGGUUUUGUUGACUCUCACCAGUCCUCUCAUGUUUGUCGGUUACAUAAGUCUCUAUAUGGCUUAAAACAAGCCCCACGGGCUUGGAAUGAGAGGUUUACCAACUUUUUGCCUUCUUUGGGUUUUCUUACAACAUUUUCAGACUCCUCAUUAUUUGUGAAACAUGUUGGCAACUCUGUGGUCAUUCUCUUGCUCUAUGUGGAUGAUAUAAUUAUCACAGGAAGUGCUACUGCAGCUAUUACUGAUGUUAUCCAGGCUUUAGCUCAGGAAUUUGAUAUUAAGGAUUUGGGACUCCUUCAUUACUUCUUAGGCAUCCAAAUUACUUAUCAUUCCACUGGAUUAUUUCUCUCCCAGGCUAAGUAUAUUACUGAUUUGCUUCAUAAGACUGAUAUGAGUAUUUCCAAACCGUGUCAUACCCCUUGUCUGCCGUAUACCAGGUUACUUAAAGAUGAUGGGACACCCUUUCACAAUCCAGCAUUGUAUCGCAGUGUGGUGGGGGCUUUGCAAUAUCUUACAUUUACAAGACCCGACAUUGCUUUCUCCGUGCAUCAGGUAUGUCAGUUCAUGCAUUGUCCCAUGGAGUCUCAUUUUCUUGCUGUGAAGAGAAUCCUCAGAUAUCUGAAAGGCACGAUGGAUUAUGGUGUUCACUUCAGCAAAGGAGAUUUAUGUUUACAUGCCUUCAGUGAUGCUGACUGGGCUGGGGAUCCCAAUGACUGACGGUCAACUACAGGUUUGGUGGUCUAUUUGGGGUCUAGUCCCAUUUCUUGGUCUUCCAAGAAACAAAAUACAGUUUCUAAAUCCUCCACUGAAGCUGAAUACCGAGCACUUUCAUCCACUACUGCAGAGAUUGACUGGAUCAAGCAACUUUUGCAGUUUCUUCGGAUUGAUGUUUCAUGUCCUGUCACUUUAUUUUGUGACAAUCUGUCUGCUAUAGCCUUGGCUUAUAAUCCAGUUAUGCACCAAAGGACAAAGCACAUUGAGGUAGACAUCCAUUUUGUUCGAGAACGGGUUGCCAAGAAGCUGCUUCAACUUCAAUUUGUUUCUUCAAAUGAACAAUUUGCCGAUAUUCUCACCAAGGGAUUGUCUACUCCAUUGUUUCAGACCCACUGUUCCAAUCUCAGGUUGAGCAAACCUCCUCCUGUGAUUGAGGGGGGAUGAUAACAGUAUAUAAAGCAAGCAUAACAGCUUGUGAUCGUGUGGUUGUAAUAGUGACAAGUGUAGUCAUCUUGUAAUCAUUGUGAUAGCUUAGAAAGUAAGCAAUCUAGUUAGCUAUAUACUAUAACUAUCAUUGUAAGAAGAUGAAAAGAGUUAAUGUGAAAAACAAAUAUCUUCUCUGUCUAAAAUUCUAUUUCUCUCUCUGAAUAUUCAUUUCUUCUUCUGCAAGAAUACAUCUCCUCUAUACCUGAGGUAGAUAACAAGUAUGAAUGAAGAGACUGGAGGCACCAUGAAGUUUCCAUUCUUUUGUUUCUACAAAAUUUUGGAAAGAUGGAAUUGUUGUCAAGGAUGGAAGUUGGCGUUGGGCUCCCGAAAUAGGGUUGAAUAGAAACAUAUCUUUUUCCUUUUCUUUGACCAUAAAUAACCACCCUUUACUAGAACCAAAUAACUUCCCUCUUUGAAUUGGCUCUGGCACCCUCAACUUGUGAAAUUUGCCACCAUCGAAAGGGCUGAGAAACCUCAUGCGGUCGUCACAGAUUCGAGGGAGUAAUAACCAGGGGAGCUCUUGAGCACCACGGACGUCUCCCCGCAUACAAACGCCCAAGACUUGCAUGAUAAGCCUAAGCGUAUUCGAUCACUUAAAUUCAGGCGCCUUACAACAAUCUCCAAGAUAUCACCAUGUGUUCUAUGCCACCUACACUACUCGACGUCUGAUGUCUUGAAGAAUUCAAGAGGUAAUAGUUUCUUGAGCUUGAAGAAAGGGAACCAGCUUCUCAAAGAGAGGUAGUCACCCAAAUUUUGAUAAACCGAAAAUAGAUCACUCAUCUCUCUCUUUAAUUAUAUGCAGAAAAGAUUAAAGAAAGAUAAAUGGUCGAUAUUCAAUUCUUGGAUGUCAAUGCUCUAUUUAUAGGACUGCAGCUUAUAGUUAUUCAUAUCCGUGUUUACAGUGUUUUAUUCUUCUCUCUUAAUUUUAACAAAUUUCCUAGUCCUAGUCGCAGCUAUGGAACCGGACGUAAAGACCCUUAAGAUUGACGAUGUUGUGACCCUCUCUUCAGACAACUUCCGCCCCUUUUACAGAACACCACAGUUGAAACACCUUUCCAAGGUCAUUGCUGGAACCGCCCGCGUAGGAGAAGUUGCGACGAUAAGAUCAGAUUAGUUUUUGGGCUCCUUCGCCUCCAAGAGUCCAUCUCCAGUUGCUGGCAUUUGUUUCUUUUUUUUUUUUUAUCGAACAACAAUAUUUUACACUAAUAAAGAGAUAAUUGGACCAGUCCCUAAAUUUUAGUCUAAUUGGAGUUUUAGUGCUUGAGUUAUAAACAUGUGAGUGAUAGUACCUGAACUUAUUACAAUAUAAAACACUAGUCAUUUUGGGAAAUGUAAUUAGAACUUCCUUUUUUUUGUACCCCUUUAAAACUCUUAUUUUGGAUGGAACUUUCAAUAGCUACUCAAAAUGACUAUUACUCCACAUUGUGAGUAAUUUAGAGACUAAUACUCAUGAAUUAGUUCAUGAACCAAAACUCCAAUGUUAAAGAUCAACACCAGCUCAUUAAGAUCAAUCGGUACAAAAGAACUAGAUUGUUCUGGUUUAAAUAUGCAUGUAAGGUGGCUGUGCAUGCAUUGAAAAUGCUAGACAAUUCUAGCACCAAAGUAUAACUAGAAGGUUAGUAAAAUGUGAAGCGCAUGUCGGUGGGCUGUUUGUGUAAAGAACUAGAAAUCUAGAAAAAUGUUUUUGUUUGUAGAAAAGUCUAGAACAGCUUAUUGCUAGUUGCUAGGAUGAAACGGGCCAAGAGAGAGUAACUAAGAAGAGAAACUAAAAACUAAGAAGGAAGAAAGCAACUAAGUAAGAAAGUAAGAGUAGCAACCAAGAGAGAGUAGCAAGUAGGCAAGCAAACCAAGUGAGAGUGAGAAACACGAGUAGUUUUGUGUGAUGUGAGUGAUUUAGAGUUUGUCUCUAGAAAGUGAGAGAGUGUCAUAGCUUCUAAAUUGUGUCUUUAAGAAUUGUUGUAUUGUAAUAUUUUGUAAGUGUAAUACAAGUAAUUUGUUUACUUAUUGUCUUUUCAACACUUGUGCUAGAGUUGUGUACUCUAAUUUUCCUCAACAUCCAAUUGAGCCGAAGAACAUUGCUUCAAUUUUCUCAUAAAUAAAAUAUGAACACAGAUAUUAAACUUGCUCAUUUUCUUCCUCAUAGAAAAGCACAUUUUCUCCCUCAUAGAAAAGCACAUUUUCUCUUUUAUGAUUGAAUGUUCUUUAUUCCCAUGCAUUUUCCACUCCGCCUCUCAUGCAAUUAAUACCUAUAUAUAUAUAUAGGCCCUUUAUGCAAAGGGAUUCCCAUUUUUUUCAAAAAAUGGGGAUUAGGUGUGAGGCUCACUCCACAUCGAACUUCAACAAUCCGAACGUCUAUUUUGUAAGUCUCGGUUCAUAGAUCAUUCUUGCAAAAAUUCAAUUCAAUCCGAAACCAUUUGCCUAUUUAAUUAUCAAGAUAAAAUUUCAUUGUUUCUUAUAUAACAAAGUAUUCGUUCAUUUCUUUGAACUCAAUUAGAUAUCUUAAACAUUUCCGAUUUGGCUAAUAUUUUGUAAGGAUGAUCUAUGAGAUGCAACUUGAAAAAUAGACGGUUCGGAUCGUUAAAGUUCGAUGUAAUGUGAACCCCACAACUAAUCCCCAUUUUUAUAAAAAAAAAUGGAGAUCCCUUUCCUUAAAGAUUUCCUAUAUAUAUAUAUAUGUAUGUAUGUAUGUAUGUAUUCCUCCAAGAAACCAGAAUCAAAACCAUGACUGACAAUAACAGGAUUAUCAUCUUUAUUGGGCUUUUUCUUACUUGAUAUCGAUUCGCAUCGUAGAUGCCUCCGUUGUUUCAACUGGGGACUUCAACAAAGAUUUCUUUGUCACAUGGUCUCCUAGCCAUGUAAACACUUCAGCUGAUGGCAAGACAAUGAGUUUAAAGCUUGACCAAGAAUCCGGUACAUGAUCAAUAUUCAUAAACUCUCUUAAUUAAUUUUGGCUUAUAGCAUGUUGGAAUUCUGAUAAUGUUGUUUUUCGUUUCCCCUGGGCGCUGGUUUUGCUUCAAACCAGAUGUUUUUAUUUGGACAAAUUGACAUGCAGAUUAAACUAGUACCAAGCCAUUCAGCAGGCACAGUUGUGGACUAUUAAUAGUCUAUUAUAUAAGCAAAAAAAACAACAAUUUUUCUUCAAACGAACAUUUUUGCUAAUGACUGAAUAACUAAUGGAUUGUUUAUGAUCAACUUGAAAUUAAUCAAUGCAGUUGACAUCUGAUCAACCUAACCGUGACGAGGUAGACUAUGAGUUCCUAGGCAAUGUGGAAGGCAAACAAUAUGUCCUCCAAACAAACAUUUUCGCUGAUGGACUGAUAACUGCGAAGAGAGGAUCAAUCUAUGGUUUGAUCCAACAAAGGAUUUCCAUACCUAUUCCAUAUUAUGAACCUUCACCAAAUUGUGUAAGCCAUCUAUCAAAUCUGAUCAGUACUACUUCAUUUUAGAAUUGCUUUUACAUAUUUUGUUAAGUACACAAAAUAAAUUUAUGGGAAAAUUUUGGUGUACUUUUGCUGUUUGUAGUUAUAGCAGACCGGUGUAGCAUUUCCAACGUGGCAGCCAAUGAGCAUCAAAGCCAGCCUAUGGAACGGCGACAGCUGGGCAACGAGAGGUGGCCGCGACAAAAUUGAUUGGUCAAAAGGCCCCUUCACAGCUUCACUAAGAAAUCACAAGAUUGAUGCCUGUGUUUGGAAGGGAAAUGCCAGGUUUUGUAGGGCAUAGAGCCCUACAAACUGGUGGAAAGGUUUAGUACCCUGUCAAAUGCACAGAGAAGGUUGUUCAAAUGGAUUAGGAAGUACCACAUGAUUUAUAAUUGGGACACUUUGAAUGCGGUCCCUAACUAUCAAUAUUCUUUGACUGAAAUUUUGUUAGUUUUUAGUUUUUUAUUGAAAUCCCUGACAUUAAUGUAAUAAUGUAAGUUACUAUAUUUUUAAAUUAAAAAUUAAAAAUUGAAAUUUGUAAUUGUUUAUAUUAAUGAGAUUUUAAAUAAAACCCAUAAUUUGCGAAGUUAAAAAUAAAAAAAUAUAAAUUAUACUCUCUAUUAUAUUGUGUGUGUGUGUGUACAUAUAUAUAUGGGUACAUUCACCAAAAUUAACUUUAUUGUACAAAAUAUGGGUACAUUCUUCAAAAUUACAAAAGAAAAAAAAAAGAUAUCACACUUAAUAACAUUAGUAAAUUUUUUCGAUCAAACUUGAUAUGGAUACAUUUUCAAAUCAACGAAAAAGAAUGUACCCAUAUAAGUUUAAAAAUGGAUUAAAAAUGGAUUUUAUAUUGAAAAAAAUGGUACAUUUUACAUAUAACAAAUUGGUAUAUUUAAGAAUGGGUACAUUUAAUAUUAAAAAAAUUGAAAAAUUAUAUGAAGGGCUACAUUUAAGGUUCAAAAAUUGAGAAUCUUUUUAUAAAAGAAAAAACUAAUGGGUACAAACUUAAUCUAAUUUUAUAUUUUUUUAUUAUUUUGGAAAUGUUUGAAUUGAAAAUUAAUUAUGAGUUUAAUAGAGAAGUGAGUAUUAAACCCUAAAUUAAUUACUAAUUUUUAUAUUAAAAAAUUUAUGUAAUAAACAUGUAAAUUCAUUAUCACAUUAAUGUUAGGGCCUUCAAUCAAAAUUUGAAAACUAAUAAGGUGUGACAACCCGUCCCAAAUUCUACAUUUUUAUUAAUUUUAAAAGCGUGAUUUUACGAAAAUGUCCUUAGAGGCGGGAGUAUUGACUUUCGUGAACAGCGUAUAGUGAGGUGUACAAAUUAAUCCUUUAGAUUUUUCCUGAAGUACUCGACAUUACGGACUUAUAGGCGCAAGCAGAAGAGGAUUUGGGGUUACGGUUAAAGUUUUACGAAACUGUAAACUCGAGAAGUACUUUGGUUUCAGUCACUAUUUAUAUUUUUAUAUAUUUUUAUAAUGUUGAUAUUAUUUAUCAAUUAAUUAUUUUAAAGAGGAAGAGGAAGAAGAGGAAGAGAAAGAAGAGGAAGAGGAAAAACGAAAAAAAAAAAGAAAAAAGAAAGAAGAAUGGCUACUGCCCAAUCAGGAAGAAGAGUGAGGUAGGGGACCAACUAGAGAAAAAGUAAGGAGGGAAAGGAGAGAAGGUAGGGAAGGAAAAUGGCAACCAAACCCAUGUGACCCGGUUAUAAUCGGAGGAUUUCUACGGCAAAAUCCAUGGUUUUUCCGAUGAAUUGGACCAAGGUACCACUUCCAAACACUAUCUAGCCCUUCCCUCUUCCUUUUGUCAUCUCAAUUUAGAAGAAAUUGUUGUAAACGGGGGAGGAACCGUCGGUGGGUGCGACGGAUUCGUGCAAGAAAUCCCAAAAUCAUGAAGCUAUUCCCACCAAUUACCAUCACCACUAGACUCCUUAUGAGGUCUAGAUCAAAUCCCAGUCAGUUGUAGGGUGGGCGGGGUACCGGAGAUGGCGAAUCAAGAAGCACCCAAACUUAGGGUUCUGACGGGUUUUAGUAAAAUUGGGAUUUUUCUAGGCCAAAUCGGCCUUAGUCACAGGUAUGAAAGUUACUCCACUCACUGAGAUCGUCAUUUCUGCAAAAUUGGUAAUUUUUAGAAGUAGUUGAAUUUUCCGGCGAGUUGGGGCGGCCGACCGCCACCCACAACGACGCGUGCGGCGGCGUGUGACCAGUAGGCCACCAAUGUAAUUUUUAGGCUAUGUUAAAUGUCUUGAAUUCAGUUUUGAUAUUUGAAUGACGUAGGUUGAUUGCUGGAACCUAAAUUCUCUACAAUACGUUAUUAGGUAUUCAGGUGAAUCGACAAUCCGACCGUUGGAUCGUCACCAAACUUUGUUACAUUGUAGUACGUAAAAUUUGAAGAAUGUAGGAACUUACAGAUUGGGAAUCCAACGUACGGAUCUUCCCGACUUGGAUUUGUAAGUUCAUAAAAUAAAACGUUAACCACUAAUCAGUUUUGGAAAUUGGCGGAGAUCCAACCGUUGGAUCGUAAUGAAAUUUAAGUAUGUUGUUCUAGAAGUCAUGAGAAGUUACGGAUUGGAAAUCUGAGAUGCAGAUCUUCCGGAUCGAGUUUUGCAGGGUUGUGGACCCAACCGUCAAUCGAAUGUCAAUAGGUCUCAAAUUAUUCUAGAAGGUCCUUAAGGAUAUGUUUUAUGUAAAUUAUGUAUUCUAUCGGUAAGAACUUUGAGACGUGAUUUGACAAUUGGUCAUAGGCGAUGAUAGUUCGUGAUGUCUCCAUAUUUGUGCGAGGGACUCGUAGUGCGGACCUAAGGCGUAGGUAUUUUCCCUUCUAUUAUAUAUAUAUAUAUAUAAGCUUGAUAUCUCCACAAACGUUUAUAAAUUAAAUAUUCAUAUAAUUUCUGUGAAUGCUUUGGAAGACUAAUGCGAACUACGAAUGGCUUAAUCCCUGUUUAGGGUACAUAGGCAGUCUAAAGAGACGUUAGAUGUAGCCAUAUAAUAAAUGGGACUAAAUAAUUGAGACAAUAGCCUUGUUUGGGGAAUUGAACAAUGCAAAGGAUAUUAGUGAAAAAUGUGAGAUCUAACCUUGCGAGUUGGUGGAUAAAUGUUGGUCAUAAAUCAAUAUGUGAGGAAUCAAGGAAUUGAAGUAAGGAAACGUAAGUAAUGAUGGUUGAUUACAUUAGGUUUUAGAUGAGCUUAUGACCGAUGACUAUUUCCUAAAAUAAAUAUGUCGGGAGUAGGGUGUUAUAGUUCAUGCAUUUUUACGCCACAUUAUAUAUAUAUAUAUAUAUAUUGGAAAAAUACUAUGAUAUGGUUGAGUUUUAGAUUUGUAUUAUGGCAUAUCCAUGUGUAUACUACUUGCACAAAAUUAUUAUGAAUGUUUGAAGUGCAAAGAUGAAUGCGGAACACACAGGUAAGUUCAGGUGAGUUAUGGUAUUAGUUGAAAGGAUUGAGUUAUGGCAUAAUCACAGUAUGUUUUAGGCAACUCCAACAUUAUCGUACAAGUUGCCUAUGAGUUGUAUAUAUCACAUGAGAUGCAUUUAAAGCUCAUAAACUUGCACCCCCAUGUUAGUGCUCCCGCCCGUGACCAGGACAUAGUCAUUCACGUGAUGUUCACCUCCCGCACCUUAAACUCACCUUGGAUCCAAGGUAGGUGCAGAGUCCUGUCGUACAGACCACUAUAGUUGGUUCCGACUCGUAGGUGACCCACGAUUAUUCGCACAGUCUUCACAUGAUUGUAGCACUUGAGCGUAUUUAUUUACACCCAGUCUUGUCGUACAUACCACUUUAGGUGGUUCUGACUUGUGUGCAAGUAUACUUAUUGAGCUAUGGAUAAGUCAUACAAGUCAUUAGAGGUGACUCCGACUUAUGAGCUAGCAUAUACGAUGAGUAUGUGAUGAGCUAGCAUAUGUGAUGAAAUAUGUGAUGAGCUAGCAUAUGCAAUGAGAUAUGUGAUGAGCUAGCAUAUAUGAUGAAAUAUAUGAUGAGCUAGCAUAUAUGAUGAAAUAUGUGAUGAGCUAGCAUAUAUAUAAUGAGAUAUGUGAUGAGCUAGCAUAUAUGAUGAAAUAUGUGAUGAGCUAGCAUAUGUGAUGAGAAAUGGAUAAGUCGUACAAGUCACGUGAGGUGACUCCGGCUAGCAUGUUGAUGAGCUGUUAAUUCAGCCGUACAGCCCACUAUAGGUGGAUCCGGCUAAUAUGCCAUUUCAUAUUGAUCUAUUUCACCUGAGUACUUAUUCUUAUUGAGAUAUUUGACAUUGUAUAAUUGUGAGACUAUUAUUUUGGUUAUGGUAUUGAUUUAUAGUCAUGCCUAUUAUUCCGGGAAAUUAUACAGGUAUUACGGUGAGGGGCUACUGUUUUUUAUAGUUGGAAUUUGUUUGAAAAGUUUUGUUUCACUCACUCACAUUUUCUAUUUUUGUACCCCUCGAGGUUCUAGCAGUAGAGUUCCGUAUCGACGAGGAUUCGUGGCACUUUUCAGUACAUAUGUUUUCUUGUGAUGGUAUGAUCAUUGUCUCAUCUUACUGCACUAUACCUAUGCUCUGUAUCACGCGUGAAAUGGGUCCAGAUCCGCUCACCGCGCACUCGUGUACUUAGGGACUUUAAGUUUUAAUGUAUUCACAUUUUAUACAUUAUCACACUUUAUGGCUUCGUCACCUUCUAGGUGUCGGGCAGCACAGCUUGAUUUGGAGUCCUAGUGGAUAUUCCGGGUCGGGGUGUGUCAUAAGGUCUUAGUCAAUGAAAAUUAGGAACUAGGGACCAGAUACUAAUUUUUCUCUUAUAAUUAUUGCCAAGAUAAGGAGAGGUUCCAAGGCAACCUUGAAAGCGUACACACACAGACACACACACACACAUAUACAUACAUACAUACAUACAUACAUACAUACAUACAUACAUACAUAUUAGAGACUUGGAAGUAAAGUAACAUUUUCUUUUGGAAUUCCCUUGCAAGAUGCCAAAAUGUUUCUUCACUUUUUGGUUAUAUUGAAUUUGAAAGAAAAGGCGAAGGAUGUAUUCAUAGGGCCUCUGACUAUAGUAGUAGAAAACCUUGUUUUUUCAUUUUAUUUUGAUUUCCAUAAAAAAAUUAAAGGGCUUUCCAAUAAUUAUUCUAAUUUAGUGGCACCAAUUUCCACUUUGAUCAUGUAGAUUGUUAGUUUAAAUAUUGCAAAUGAGAUUUUAUAUACUUCAUUAAUCAACGAGUGUCUGCUGUGCAUGAGAUUUAAACUCAAGACUUACAAUAAAGUGGAGAUUAGAUGCUACUAAAUUAACGUAUCAUAAUGAAUUUUGUUAUCUCUAAUUAGCGAUUUAAAUAUAUCAUUAAUGAUCCUUGCAUCCUGUAUUCUGCAUAAGAAGUGGUGGGUGAUCCCGCUAGACUGACAAAAUUAAAUAUGACGAUAACAGUACACAAAUUUUGUUUCAUGAAGGGUUUGUAUCUGGCCUUAUCAAGUCAGAUAUGUAACAAGUUGACUUGAUAAGAAUACAUUUCUUUCUUAAUUGGUCGGAUUCUUGAUUAUUCACGACAUUUAACACUCCAGUACACGUGUUUAUAAAUGUUGCAUAAUGCGGUAUAUUUAAAAUUUUAUAUCCUAUUAACAAAAUAAAAAAAUUAAUGAGUAAAAUUGACAAAUACCAUAAGAUUAAAUUUAUGAACAAAUUGAUCUUUUCUAGCCCAUUGUGAAGUUAAUCCUACCCCCUCCCCUUAAUUGUAGAGAAUAUUGUUUGUUAAGAGGUUGAAUUUGUGGUGGGAAUAUUUUCACCUGACACGAGUACGAUAAAACACAAAACGUCGCUGAACAAUCUUUUUCCUGAAAAAUGUGAUGACAGAACAGUGACCCAAUCAAGAAAGGCCCAUAUUUUACAAAAAAUAAAAAAAUAAAAAGGCCCAGAGUGAAUAAUGGGUCUGAAGGCCCGAGUGUUGACGAUUAAUAUCUAAAAUGAUAAGGAAACUAAUGAAAAGAAUUUGAAACUUUGAGUUUUAACGAUAAGGACAAAAUAAAAGGUAAAAUAAAUAGUAUUAGAAUUAAUUUUUUAAUGUAAAAAUAUGAUUUUUCGUUAAAAUAAAUAGUACUGUAACUUUUCGUUAUAGUUCCUAAAAUUCUAAUGCAGCAAAAUUAGAAUCAAAGAAAAUAAAAAUUGCCGUUUCGUCAAAUCUUGUCGCAGCCAAAAACCCUAAACCCUUUGAGAGCACAGACAGAGGAAGAUGGGAAAUACAAGCAAAGACCUUCUGCAAUUCGAGCACAAAAGGGCUUCAACUUCACCUUUAGGUCUCUCUCUCUCUCUCUCUCUCACGCGCGCUCGCUUUCUGUGGAAACUCAUGUAGCUUACUCUGGGUGUAUUCUCUUGCAGAAAGCACGCUACUUGUCUGUAAAAAUGCCUCAACGAAGAAAGCUCAACCCGAAGGGAAACCCGGCCCUGCUCUUCCUCUUCCCAAAAGCCAAGGUUCUCGAUUUUUUCCCAUUUAAAUUUGGGUUUUUUUUUUUUUUUUUUUUCAAUUGUGAAAACUUCAAUUUAAAGGAAUUUGAAUUGUGGGUUCUUGGUAAGAGAUUAAAUCUGAGAUCGAUUUGAUAUGAUGGGCACAUAUAUGAAUGUUUUUAUUUUCCAGCUGGUAAUUUUCUAUGUUGGUUUCUACUUGGCCGGCUAAAUAAUGUUUAAUUCUCAAAUGGGUCUAUAAUUUGGUGAUGGAUGCUUAAUUUCUUUUAUACAAGGUCUCGAUGCUAAUCAGUUAAUCAGCAUAAUGCCUGUGCUGCUUGUCUUCUUUUUACAUUUCCCCCAUUUAUAUUUUGUUUUGGAACUUGCUAAGUUACUAAGUUGUAGUGGUUUGAGUUAUAACUUAGAAGGGUGUGACUCAAGUCUCCUGUCAUUGGGCUCGUCUCAUCCUUCAUAAACCUGCGCUGAAAUUUCAUAGUUUAAUUCGACGAGAUGGGAUUAUUUUUGUGCUGUUUAUCUUUUCUUGGCCCCUGGUGUUAUUAUUUUCUUCCUCUUUUGGUUCGUUGGCAAGAAUCUUGCUUGAGAUAGAGGGUAGUAAGUACUUCAUUGUCGGCUUGAGAUUGGCUUCAAAUCUCUGUUCAUGUCUAUCCACUACAAUCAAUUACAUACCUUACCUUGGAAUUCUGUUUCUCAUACAUUGUUUCCGUAUUCAUAUUUUUCCGGUUCAGUAGAGAAUUUCUACCUUUACAUGUCAAUUAGUUUUUCGUUCUCUCUUUCAUUAGAGAACUUGCUUUACUUAGUUCUAGCUGAAUUUUCUCAAAUGUUUAGUAGUCAAUGUGAUGCUUUAUACGCUAGCUGAUGAUUGUGUAUGUCGUGAAGGGGUCAUAACAAUGGUUUAGCGUUGAGAAAAAUCAAAUGUGUGGCAUGUGUGGCAUGAUCUCAGGUUAGAGGAUUUCUGCAAUUGGGCAAGCCUAUGCCCCAAGUAUUUAGUUGUUUUAGGCAACUGAAGUCUUCAUUGAUGAUCAGGAAUGGUGACGAUAGAAAUUUGAAAUAGAUUAGAGAAUGUUGUAGUAUCAAAUCUGAGGCUGAAGAGACGGAUGUUCUAAACUGUUUUGCCUUGCCCCCUUUUUUUUUUUAGCUCAAACAGAAGUUUUCAAUUUAUCAUGUACUUGAGAUUCUCUGCUUCUGUUUUAUUUGUAGUGUUGUUUUGUUAGAAGUGCCUUGCAAAAUUUUGUUCACAGUAUUUGCUUGCUUGGGCUGUGCAGUUUUGGGACUAGUAAGGGACUUCUUGGGAGUCAUAUCAGAAGCUAACGAACGACUAAAGCAGGAUGCAAAGGUUGGCAUAUUGAUCUUGCAACCAAAUCUAGAUUGUUUAUCCCGAUUCUAACAUCCUUUAAAACACCUAACCUGUGUUUUCUCAUUUACUGAUAUGUAGGAUAAUCCAGAAAACUACGAUAUUGAAGUGCUCACUGGAAAUGAAUCUCAAGUCGUUAAUAUGGUCCCUAUCUCUCUUUCGCUCUUGCUCUUGCGUAUGCACACACAUACACAUACACGCUCACAGAUUAUUGAUCCCCUUGGAUAAUAACUGAUUUGUGGGUGGAUCUGAAUUGACAGGAGUUGAUGCUGGGCGUUGCUGAUCUUCAAACUCCUGAGGCUGUGGCUGCUGCUGAAUCUGCAAUUGUUGGUUGUCAGCCUGUUAUACCAUUGGCCAUCAACAGUAGCGGAGAGGAAUCAGAGGAUAGCAGUGAUGGUGACAGCAGCAGCGAUGAUAGUGACGACGAAGAUGGUUCCGAUGAUAGUAGCAGCAAUGAUAAUGACGACGAAGAUAGUGAUGAAAUCAAAGAUGAUACAAUUGAUAAAGAGGAUAAGAAAACAACCUCUCAUGCAAGGCUCAAAACACGCAAGUCGGAUAAAGAUAAUUCUAUGAGUGAUGAUGCUGGUAACAAUCGGUCCCAAAAACGACCGAAAAUUGUUGAGCUCUCACGAAAGUCUUGUGAGAUCUAGUCAUAUAUAGAGUUAAUGUUUAUGGAACUAUCAAUUUAUUGUAAUAGUUGGGCAGUUCUUAAGACUUCCACACAGUGAGAAGGGCAUAUGAUGAAUGAUUCUGGGAGACUCUGGAAGAGACAACGAGUUGUAUGAAGAGUACAAAAUAUCAUUAUAUCGUUAAUGUGAUUUCGUAUGUAAUUUCACGGUUUCACCCAAAUCAUUCUAAGUACGAUGUUUGUCGAUGAAUUUUAUGAUGAAAGGUAAUUGUUCUGCAAAUUUAUCAGUUCUGCUAAGUUCUUCUGCCACUCAAACUGUAUACAGUUCGAGGUGAAUCUAUGAUUGUAACUUCUUCUAACAUCGAAUGAACAACGCUUAAAAUGUAGAAGAAAAUCCUUUGGCAACAUUGUCAUGCAUUUGGUACAUACCACAUAGAGGAAACUUAAAAUUUAAGUUACAAAGGCAAUUACAUCGACAUCUCUAGGAUGACACCACAUCGGGCCGGAGUCGGAUUUGCCCUGCCAUAUCCGGCUCCACAAAAAUUUUGCCAUCCCUAUCCCCGUCCCCAUAAACAAAGGGAUUUAGUUGUAAAUAUUUUUUUUUUGUACAAGCGAUAAUGUGGUUCAAAUUCACUUUUCACGAAAAUAGAACCUAAUACCUCUCACUUACAAGUGAAGAGGAAUACCACUAGACCGUAGUAUUAGAUAUGAAUAACAAAGAAUUCAAGCAUUAUGUAUAGAGGAAAUUAUAGUAAUGGUCCCUCAACUCUUAAUGCAAUUGGAGUAACGGUCCCUCAAUUAAAAUCCAUAACUAUUAGUUCCUUAACUCAUCAAAACAUGCAAUUGUGGUCCUUCUUGUCAAAUUGGUUAGAACUUUCGUCAAAAUGAGUUACAUGUCAUGCACGUGAGGCUGAAUCAAGAGUUAAUAUGGAAAACCAAUUGGAGAAAUAGUCCCUCAAUUUUAAUCCAAUUGGAGUAAUGGUCUCUCAACUUUAACCCAAUUGUAGCGAUGAUCCUUCCAACAUGACUUAUUUUGAUGAAAUUUUGACAGAGUUGACGAAAAAGACCAUAGCUGCACGUUUUGAUGAGUUAAGGGACCAAUGAUUAUGAAUUUUUAGUUGAGUGACUAUUGCUUCGUUUAGGUUAAAGUUGAAGGACUAUUGCUACAAUUUUAUCUUAUAUAUAUAAAAGAAAGCUUACCCCUCUAUAUUAGUCAUAUAUCUUGCUUACCUACCAACAACUACAAGACCAAGCAAUUUAAAUUAAAAAGGUACAAGACAACCAUUAUUUUAUGUCCUUUAAAAUGGGCCGGCCACACCCUAUGUCAAAUAUGUAAGGCCCUAGCCCAUCUCAUGGGCCGAGAAAAUUUAGGCCUAUCAGCGGGCCCCUAAACUCUGAUCUUUUGGCCUUUCAAUAAUUUAAAUAAAAAAUAGUAAUAAGACCUUAAGACGCAAAGUUCAGACCUUACACAUUUAAAAUAGAGAACUUUAACGAAAAACAUCCGGUACUGUUCACUUUAACGAAAAACCACAUUUUUACACUAAAAAGUCAAUCCUGAUACUAUUCACUUUACCCUUUAUUUUGUCCUUAUCAUUAAAACUCAAAGUUUUCAAGCCCUUUUUAUUAGUUUUCCUUUUAAAAUAGGGCCAGAUAAAGCUCGACCUAAGACUGGAUCGGGCCAACCCAUCGGGCCUCGGUCUUAUUUUACCGGCAUAGUUUUUUGGGAACUUUAACGAAAAGCACCCGGUACUGUUCACUUUAACGAAAAACCACAUUUUUACACUAAAAAGUCAAUCCUGGUACUAUUCACUUUACCCUUUAUUUUGUCCUUAUCAUUAAAACUCAAAAUUUUCAAGCCAUUUUCAUUAGUUUUCCUUAGUUUUUUAACCUUUAAAAAGAAAUGAAAUUACAUAAAUACCCUUGGUAACCAAAAGCAAACAGUGCACCGUCUCUUAUUUCAUCAAAAGCCUCAAAGGAUUAAUCCUUAUAUUCUUUUUUGUGGUUUGAUCAUAACUAAUUAGUAGCCAUGCAUGCAUCCAUGGAUCUGGGCUUAUUAGCUGCUAAUUAUCAUAAGAGUAAACAAAAUUCAAAGAUUUUGUGGUUUGGUCAUAAAAAAAUUGACUGUUAGAUCGUUGUAAUACAUUACGGAGGUAAGCCUCACAAAAAUAGUGUUUCAAAUAGAAGUCAAAAUCGCGUAUCCCUGAAUCUUAACCAGAAAUAUUAUAAUACACGUAUUUAUUUAAUUUUAUUAAUAGUCUCUAAAGUAUCAAAUUAUGUCAUUCUCUUAUAUUAUAACAUGUGAAUUAAUAACAUUAUAUACUCACUAAAAGCAAAUUUGAACCAUGUUAUUGCUAGUUUAUUGUGAGGUUUAGCCCACUCCUCUACCCCUUGAGUAGAAAUGAUAUCGUUUGUCAAAAAAUAACACUAUAUAUUGAUGGUACCAGGAUCACCCCAAAUAUUUGUUUUUAGAAAGGGAUAUCUAUGUGGUUAUCCACUUAACUAAACUUUGGUAUAAUUAACCGAACUCCAAUUUUUUUUUCCUAGUCCCUGUGGUGACACAGUACUUUCAAUGUGAACCUCGUGAUGAAAAAGUUUUUAAUUAAACUCUUGUGGUGGGCCUUGUUAGCAAUUGAGGUCCAAUCCUUCGUUAGUCUUCUGUUAAAUAAACUCACGUGACUAUCACAUGGAGGGUCAAUUUUGUCAUUUAAAUCCAAAUUACAUCAUAUUCCAUGAACAUCUAGUAUGAGUUAGGGUUUAACUAAAAUUAGAUUUUACCAAAAAAAAAAAAAAAAAAAAAAAGGUUGAACGCAAAGAGUGAAACUAAACCUGUAAAACCACAUCAAUGGAGAAUUUGCAAAGAAAGAAGAGAGGGAGAAGUUGCAAAGAAAGAAGAUGUUGGAGGAGCAAGGGAGGUUAAGUAACUUAAUAGAGAAUUGGGGAAGCUUUUGAGUGGGUUUCCAGUGAGGGAUGUCGAGUUUGUAUGUGAGCGAUGUUUGUUGUAGCCUAGGUUUGUGAGACAGAGAAGAUGGGAUGUUUGUGAGGGAUGUGGGGAUGCAAGGUUUGCACCAUGUCCAGAGAAAGAAGAAGGGAGAGAUAUUGAAGAGAGAGAGAAGUCAGGUGGCAUCAUUUCCUAACAGCCUUGCACUACAAACCGACGUAGCCGAAGUUUAAAAAACAAAUCGAUGCUGCCGAUUAAUCGAUCUAUAACAAUUGGUUGCCAUGACAAAAUCUUAAUUCUUCAUUCACUCAUUUGGGAUUUUAUUUUCUAUAUGGGUGCAAAAAUGAAUUUAUAUAUUGAAUCGGAUUUGUGAGAGUAGUUUAGGUAGUAAAUUUGAGUUUAAAGAGAUAUUGAAUUUUUAAUUAAAAAUAAUGUGGAUGUAAAGAGUAAGGUGUAAAAAAGGUUAUAUAGUUCAAAUAAAAUUUCCCUUAAGAUAGGCUAGUGUUUCCUGUUUGGUUUUAGACUUUUAUAAUUGGGGUUGAAAUUGCGCUAGGAUUUUGUUAAAUUAGACUAAUAUUUUACUUUGAAUUUGGAUUAAAAAAUGAAUACCCAAAAUAAAUAAAUAAAUAAUUAAAUUAAUAUACAUUUAAUUCGGUUUGGUUCAAUUUUCAAACUAUUGAAACCAAAAUCGAACAAGAAGAAUUCGGUUUGGUUUGGGUUUUUUAAUGUGGUUCCUAUUUUUGCUUCGGUUGGGUGUUUCAAUUUGGUUUUUUUUGUUUUUUUUAACCCUUUUCGGCUUCAGAUUAUUAUGGAAAAGCAUGUGGAGUGUAUUAAGAUAAUUUUUAAUUGAAAAAGUCCAAAUCUUACAGUUGCCAAGUCCAAAUCUUAUAGAUGACAAGUUAAAAUCUAACUCCACCAAGAUUGUUGAUUUGUUUAAAAUAUUGUUAUUAAAAAAUUCUUUUGGACAACCAAUCUAGUUGAUUAAGACAAGAUUUAAAAUCUGAUACUCUGAAGCACUAUACAAUUCUUUUUAUAAAAGAUAUAAAUUGAAGGUGGAGGAAUAAAUUGGUUAUAAACAUAUCAUUUACAAGAUUUAAACUUGCCUCUAUUACAUUAUUUAACCAUAAAACAUGUAGAGAAACACCAAAACUUGGCCUAAAUUGUCCCCGCGUGCGCAAGUAAGUGUGAAAUCCUGCAAUUGAGUUUCAUUAUUCAAUUUUCGCGUUUCAUAUUUACAUGAUUUUAUUUUAGUUUCUUUAAAUUGGAUCUUUGGUUGGUAAGUUAAAGUUUGAUUUUAUGUAGUUAGCCAAUAAAAAUCUGUAACUUUUAGGGGGUCACUUUUGGACUUGUUGGAUAAAGCUCGAUCUCAUGAGCGUGAAGGCGAAAAACCGUUUGCAAAAUGAAGUUUUAACGAAGAAGAUAUAAGAUCGUCUAUCAUAAAAAACCCGACCGAUUUGGAACAGGGCUUAUUAUUUUUAGAAGAGUAAACUGUCGGUUUAUCCCCUGAACUUUCACCUCACUUUCGAUUUCCCCCCUGAACUUUUCCAUUGGAAAAUUAAGGACUCAAACUAAUUUUUUUAGCCAAUUUGCCCCCUACCGUUAGUUUUUCAUAUAUUCCAUCCAUAUUUCCGUUAAGUGAGACCAUGUGCACAACAUGUGAGGGUAGUUAAGUUAUUUCACUCUUAAAAAUGAUUAAAAAACUGAAAAUAAUAAAAAAAGCAAAACUUUCCCUCUAUUUUUUCCCGCUAAUUCCUAUCCUCGAUUUUAUUUUUCCCUCUCAUUCCUAUGCAUGAGAAAUGACAUAUGGUGUUAUUGUCUACCAUUUUUAUUUUCUCUAACAAAUUAAUAAUUUGACAAAUGCUAAUGGUGCUAUUGUCUCCAAAGCAGUGCAUUAAUAUAAGAAACCCUAGUCUUUUUUAUGGACAUGUUUCUUAUAUUAAUGCAUUGCUUUGGAGACAAUAACACCAUUAGCAUUUGCCAAAUUAUUAAUUUGUUAGAGAAAAUAAAAAUGGUAGUACAUGCUUCAAAAAAAAGAUUAACUUAGCUACUUAUGAAGACAAUAACACCAUAUGUUAUUUCUCAUGCAUAGGAAUGAGAGGGAAAAUUAAAAUUGAGGAUAGGAAUUAGCGGGAUAAAAUAGAGGGAAAAUUAUUAUUAUUAUUUAUUUUCAGUUUUUAAUCAUUUUUAAAUUGAAAUGACUUAACUAUCCUCACAUAUUAUGCACAUGGUCUCACUUAACGGAAAUAUGGAUGGAAUAUGAAAAACUAACGGUAGGGGGCAAAUUGGCUAAAAAAAUUAGUUUGAGUCCUUAAUUUUCCAAUAGAAAAGUUCAGGGGGGAAAUCGAAAGUGAGGUGAAAGUUCAGGGGGUAAACCGACAGUUUACCCUUUUUAGAAACCCAGCUAGUGAGUUAACCCGUUGACUAGGUUUCACUGCCCCAAUUCGCUAGGCAAAAUUUCAACACGUUUUCGACGUGAUGUGACAGUUUCAGCAACGCCAUCACUUGGGUAUUCCCUUCAACACCACAAACAAAAGCCACCAAACUUCACCAUGAUCGACUAUCAAGCUUGAAAAUUCUGAGUUUUGGUGGUUUGCGAUCUAGCCCUUUCUAUUGUAAAUGUCGGCGACCACCACCAUUAUCGAGAAGCCUUCGACAUCUAGAGAAAAGCCCUAGCUUUGGAUUGGAUGUUAGUGCAGCAGUGGCGCAAUGAGGUUCCUGACUACCCAUGGCUUUUUCGACUAAUUUUGCCUUUUUUCAUCCCAACCAACCUCCAACAAAGGUAUAAAACUUACUCCCCUUGUUGUAAGCUACGUUUUGGAAUUGACUGGAUUCUGGCAAAGGUUGGUUGGCGCACCGUCGUGUAUGGCGUGCGUGGCAUGAUGACCUAGUUUGUCUCCGUAAGCUAAAUUUGAUGUCCUGAACCCUUUUCCAAUGUUCGUUUGACAAGAUUUGAUCAUUUGAACAUAAUUCAAUAAUUGACUGCCACUUGACCUUUGUUGUAGGUGUUGAUCCGACAGUUGGAUCAUUAUGGAACUAUAGUAUAUGUUGUUGUUGAAGUAAUGUACUGAUGCUCUAAAGAACUUAUAGAUCUGAAAUCUAAGGUGCGGAUCCAUCAUAUUGGAAUAUUUAUGUUAUUGACCUUAGCAUGAACCAUUUUGAUCGGAGGUUAACUUUUGGUCAACAUGUCCCUAAUCAUUCUAGAAUAUUGAAGUUAGCAUUAUUAGAUAGCUGAUAUAGCCUAGUGGGCCUACCUUGGUUUGUGUGCCAUCCUGGGUGAUGUGCAUCUUAGGUGCAAGUGGCACCUUACCUUCAUUUAAGUGUUUGUUGGGUUUCUCGAUGAAUGUAUUCUAUAAAUAAUAAGCUAAAUAAUGUUUGUAUACUUCGAUAAGUUUUGACUGACUUCUGGGCCUUAAGUUGGCGUGCUUUCGAGAUUGCCUUUGCAUUGGACAUGAGGUGAGUAGUUUGUUUACUGUCUUUAUAUAGAAUACCAAAAUGCGUAUAUGCCUCAAUGUAUGUCCUAUUGAAGUUAGCAUUGCUAUGUAAUAUGACAUAGAGAUAAAGAUACUGGUAAUUAGAAUUUUUAAUAUAACUAGUAAUUAAGGGAAUCCUUUGUGAUGUUCUUUGUAUGACGAGAUGCUUGGUUGACAUGUUGAACCGAUAGUGGAUGUGAUUAUUAUGUAAAUCAUGUUGGGUUGAUGUAUGGUGUAUGACGAGUGAUAAUGUGACUGCAUCAUGUAGCAGUAUGGUGCAUGGAUGGUCCUACUUGGUUAAUUCGCAUUGGGGGACCAUGCAAUUAUAAGCAUGCCUAUGGUUUUGCUUGGUUAAUUUGCAUUGGGAAACCAUAAGCAUCUAAAAGUGAUCAUCCUUGGUAAAUCGGCAAUUGGUGACCACUUCCAAGUUAGAUUCCAUUGAAUUGGUCUGGAAUAUUACUUCAUAUAUGGUUUUUUUUUAUUUGGUCUGAAAACCCUAUAUUCUGUUAUAGAGUUGAAACUUAUCGUGCAACCAGAUAUAAAGUAAGAUCUAAACCUUAUAACAAUUCCUUUCGAAUUACUUUCUUGUAAUCCGAUAAUAAAGGCAAUCGACGGUACAAAGAUUUCCAGACCAAUUCAAUGGAAUCCAAGGUUUGCAGACCAACUCUGUUAUAGAGUUCCAGCCCUUGUGAAACCAGACCUGGAUUUUUUUUCCUUCCUCCCCAUUUAUUUAUCAGUUAUAAAGUUGAAACUUAUGGUAAAGUGGUGCAGUGAGGGUCACAGUAUCAACGGACAACUCUUUGCGGAGCAAAAAUUGACCGCAAAUCCAAUAAUUUUCUAUUGAAAGAAGAGUCCUUUUGAAUUUUGAUUUCCUGUAAUUAUGGCCUUCCCAUGUUAAAGUCUAAUGUAAAAAAAAUCUGAAUAAGAUGACUUCACAAUGUUAUAAAUAUUAUACGGUCUAGUGGUAUUCAUUUUCAUUUGUAAGUGAGAGGUUUUAAGUUUGAUUUUCAUCAAAGGUGAAUUUGAACUACAUUAUUGCUAGUCCACUAUGAGGCUAAGCCUUCACUCUCUCCGUUAGUGUAGAUAAUAUCGUUUGUUCCAAAAAUAAAAAAGACGCUACAUAUUUUUUUCCUGAAAAAAAUGUCUUAACUAUUUAAAAUUGGAUAAUUUACCUUUAAAGUGUAUCACAUAAAAGUUUUUGAAGUGUAAAUUGUUUCUGGUUAUUUAAUUUAAGUUGCAAUGGUCUACUUAAGUCAAUAGAUUCAAAUGUAGGGGUCUCGAUUCAAUCCAUCUAUGUGACUUUAGGUUGUAGCCAAGUGUCAUGCCAUUAUUGAUGACCGUGUGUAUGGCUUAGAUUGGAUUUAGCGCAAAGGUGUAAGAGAAUGUUUUGCUAAUUUGCGCUCUGCAAUGAAUUGAGCUGCACCUUUCCUUACACAGAAAUAUACAAAACGUUCUUCGUUCUUUGAGUUUUUCUUCAGUCUUAUUUCCCAAUCCGUAACUUAAAAAAACAACAUCAAAUACUAAAAACCAACACAAGUCACGUAAUUUAAAUUGAAAUAAAACUAAAUAGCUUACAAUCUAGUAGAAGGGAAGAAUUUGGAGGUUUUAAUGAACUUAAGGACAUUUGUUUGAAAAAAUAUCAUUAAGGAACUUAAUUUUUUAAAUGGUAGGAUUAUGAGAGAUAUGUUGAAAAGUGUGUAAUUAAGGAAAUGAACUCAAAUAAAAACUAAAAAUUAUUUUUAACUUGUAUUUAUUUUGAAGAUUUUGUUUUUGUUCAUUUUUCUUUGUUUCCUUCAUUCCCUUCCACCAGUAUUCUUCAUCCCUCAUUUUCGCCUCCACUCUUCUUCAUCCCACAUUUCCUCCAAAUAAUUUCUCCAUAACUCAAACACAUAAAAAUGAAAACUAAAAAUAGAAAACAUUUUGAUUAUCUCACAAAUAUGAUCUCACAUUUACACCGUAUAAUUUCCCUUUAUAUUUAUGGAAUAAUUAUUAGCACUUAAAAGUCAUUAUGCACUCUUUAAAUAUAUAGAUUUGACAAACCUGCGUUAUAUCUAUCAAAGACAAGGAGCAAGAAAUAAUUGCUUGGUCAAAAGCCAGUAAUUUCUUUCUAAUUAAUAUGUGUAGUAGAUUACCAAGAGAAAUUUACCACAAACAUUCAUCGUUUCAGCAAAAUAAUGUAAAUUAGGGUUUUCUUGGUUGAGGCAAUAGUAGGACUUCAAGCUAGGCAAGUAAUUAUGCAACUUUGAUCGUAGCAUGCAUGUCUUACUAGCAAGUUACCAAAAUUUAUUUUAAAUAAAAAAGAGUGAAUUCUUGAUCAAUUGAAAUUUACCGUCCACCAUGCCAGUGGAAGGUAUAUACAAAGGAUCGAUCAUCACUUAUUUAUUCAUUUUCUUUAUUCUUAAUAACCUACUUAUCUUCUUAGAUAUAUCCAUCAGCAAAAAUUGCUAGAGUGGUUGUUGUUCUUCCAUAGCUAGUAAGGCUUCUCCCCAACAUAGUUGCCUGGGGGAUCAUAGUUGCAUCCAAUGAAGGUACCCCCACUGCUGCACCUCACUUUUGCGCACCCUACACGAGCCGACUUACGCCAAACCACCUGUGUAUAAUGCCCACACACCUUUCCAGCAGCACACGAGUUCGACUUAUAACUGUAGUCGGCUUUCUCCUUCACCCACAGGUCCACAGCCGCUGUUCCCGACAGGUCACCAGUGCUCAUGGCAAGGUUUUCGCCGUAUGGCCCCUUGGAGUGCACAAGCUUACAGUCGCCAACACGUUGAUUGGCGUAGUUUUGUGCAUAGCGUGCUACAUUGUCAUCCCACGUCAAGGGACCAACGCCUACUGCUGCUCGAGCGGCGUUGUGGGAAUUGAG